UUAUAUGGUCAAGAAGAGAAGCGCAAACGGUGGAUGCCUUGGCAGUAAGAGGCGAAGAAGGACGUGGAAUCCUGCGAAAAGCUAUGGGGAGCUGGAAACGAGCGAUGAGCCAUAGAUGUCCGAAUGGGGGAACCCGGCUGCAGCGAUGCGGUCAUUUGCAUUUGAAUACAUAGGAUGCAAAGGCGAACUCGGGGAACUGAAACAUCUAAGUACCCGAAGGAAAAGAAAUCAAGAGAGAUUCUCCAAGUAGCGGCGAGCGAACGGGGAGGAGCCUGGCGUGAUUUAUUAUUGAACUGAGUAGAACAAUUUGGGAAAGUUGGCGAUAGAGGGUGAAAGCCCCGUAUACGAAGGUUUGAUGAGGAACUAGGCACGCGAGCAAGUAGGCCGGGACACGUGAAAUCCUGGUUGAAGAUGGGUGGACCAUCAUCCAAGGCUAAAUACUACUUACUGACCGAUAGUGAACCAGUACCGUGAGGGAAAGGUGAAAAGAACCCCGGAGAGGGGAGUGAAAUAGAAUCUGAAACCGUUUGCGUACAAGCAGUGGGAGCAUGGUUUAGGCUGUGUGACUGCGUACCUUUUGUAUAAUGGGUCAGCGAGUUACUUUCAGUGGCGAGGUUAACUGAAUAAGGGAGCCGUAGAGAAAUCGAGUCUGAAUAGGGCGAUAGUCGCUGGGAGUAGACCCGAAACCGGGCGAUCUAGCCAUGUGCAGGAUGAAGGUUGGGUAACACCAACUGGAGGUCCGAACCGGGUAAUGUUGAAAAAUUAUCGGAUGACGUGUGGCUAGGAGUGAAAGGCUAAUCAAGCCCGGAGAUAGCUGGUUCUCCCCGAAAGCUAUUUAGGUAGCGCCUCGUGAAUGAUUACUGGGGGUAGAGCACUGUUUCGGCUAGGGGGCUGUCAUGGCUUACCAAACCGAUGCAAACUCCGAAUACCGGCUAAUUGAAUCACGGGAGACACACGGCGGGUGCUAACGUCCGUCGUGGAGAGGGAAACAACCCAGACCGCCAGCUAAGGUCCCCAAGUACUAGUUAAGUGGGAAACGAUGUGGGAAGGCAUAGACAGCCAGGAGGUUGGCUUAGAAGCAGCCACCCUUUAAAGAAAGCGUAAUAGCUCACUGGUCGAGUCGGCCUGCGCGGAAGAUGUAACGGGGCUAAAACUAGUCACCGAAGCUGCGGAUGUGCGCGAAGGCGCACGUGGUAGGGGAGCGUUCUGUAGGCUGAUGAAGGUGCAUUGAGAAGUGUGCUGGAGGUAUCAGAAGUGCGAAUGCUGACAUGAGUAACGAUAAUGUGGGUGAAAAGCCCACACGCCGGAAGUCCCAGGUUUCCUGCACGACGUUAAUCGGAGCAGGGUGAGUCGGCCCCUAAGGCGAGGCUGAAGAGCGUAGUCGAUGGGAACCAGGUUAAUAUUCCUGGACUUUUUAUAAGUGGUGAAGUGGGGACGAAGAAGGCUAGGUGAGCCAGGCGUUGGUUGUCCUGGUACUUGCAUGUAGGGGGGAAGACUUGGCAAAUCCGGUUUUCCAUAACUCUGAGGUGCGAAGUGGUUCUGACCUUUUGGUACAGAGAAGUCAUUGAUGCCCGGCUUCCAGGAAAAGCUGCUAGCCAUAACUUAUAGAGAACCGU
rnacentral:rRNA from 1 species